UACGAAGGGGGCUAGCGUUGCUCGGAAUCACUGGGCGUAAAGGGCGCGUAGGCGGCCAUUCAAGUCGGGGGUGAAAGCCUGUGGCUCAACCACAGAAUUGCCUUCGAUACUGUUUGGCUUGAGUAUGGCAGAGGUUGGUGGAACUGCGAGUGUAGAGGUGAAAUUCGUAGAUAUUCGCAAGAACACCAGUGGCGAAGGCGGCUCACUGGCCCGGUACUGACGCUGAGGUGCGAAAGCGUGGGGAGCAAACAGG
rnacentral:rRNA from 1 species